rnacentral:rRNA from 1 species
GGAGGAGGCAAGCGUUAUCCGGAACUAUUGGGCGUAAAGAGUCCGUAGGUGGUUUAUCAAGUCUGGGGUCAAAGACCGGAGCUUAACUCCGGAACGGCCGUGGAAACUGAGAGACUAGAGACCGGUAGGGGUAGAGGGAAUUCCCAGUGUAGCGGUGAAAUGCGUAGAGAUUGGAGGAACACCAGUGGCGAAGGCGCUCUACUGGGCCGGGACUGACACUGAGGGACGAAAGCUAGGGGAGCGAAAGGGAUUAGAUACCCCUGUAGUCCUAGCCGUAAACUAUGGAGACUAGGCGUGGCUUGUAUCGACCCCGAGCCCGUGCCCGAAGCCAACGCGUUAAGUCUCCCGCCUGGGGAGUACGCACGCAAGUGUG